ACAUAUUGACGGGGUUCUCAGAAGCACAGCCUCUGAUUAGCUGUGCUGAUUUCAUUAUUUUGUGUGUUUGACUUCGUCAUGCAGCAGAUCUACACACAGAGCCAUGAAGAGUUUGAGGUGUUCACCACUGUUCUGUCGCCUCAAGUUUGUCGGAAGAGAGUGAUUUUCAAGCACCAAGGAGAAAAGGUAACACAUUUUCUCAUUUGAGCUGCAGGAUCAUGUAAUACAGCAGUUUAUACUACAGAGCUGAUGGUAAAGAUAAAAUGUUUUUUUUGUGUAUGAGAUGGUUGUGGCAGCAGACUACAGCGCAGACUGUGAUGAAGAGCUGAGUGUCCGUGCCGGUGAGGUGGUGUUGCUGCUGUAUCAGGAGAAUGCUGACUGGUGCUAUGCCCGACUUCAGAAUGGAAAGGAAGGAUACCUGCUCACAGCCUGCUUCACUACGAGGGCAUUCUCUGAAACUGCCGCGGCGAGCGUCUCUGUCAGGAGUGCCAGGUUCCCCUCGAUUGCUUCAGAGGCUGCUCUCUCGUCGACGUAGUGACGGACAUGCUGUACGUUCGAUCGGCUCCAUCAAUCCUGCAUUUCAUCCUGACUGAUGCAUCCAACCCUAGAGCUCCACCUUUCUUUUCUAAAAUGGGUCACAGAACAGCAGAAAAUAGGACAAGUAUGACACCAAAGUUCAGUCUGUAUGCAACUCCUUCAGAUUUGGAGAUAAAACAGAAGUUCGGUGUCCUGAUUAGGGUUUGGGGCCUCAGUAACUUCGUAGCCAGUUCGUGGCACUGAACCUGCAACUGGUGUCAAGAAUCUUUACCAUUACUGCCCCAUGUAAAUAUGUAAAUAUUGUGAUUUUGAUUGGAAAUGUCACACUCUUCUUCACCUAUGAAUGUAUUUGAAAUGUAUGUUUUGACUAAUAAUACAGAAAGACUACAAUGAGAAAUUGUUAUUAGUUUAU
rnacentral:lncRNA from 1 species